rnacentral:lncRNA from 1 species
UCGUAUCGAAGAUUGCCGAGAAGAAGAUCAAGGAAGCUGGUGGAGCCGUCGUCCUCACUGCUUAAUUAGGGUUUGAUUUUGUUCUCUUGAUUAGGGUUUUGGAAUUAAUUACUUUUUAAAUUUUUAUUAAUGUUGACUCCGAACAAUGAGUUUUGUUCUAUUACCCUUACAUUGUUACAAUGCAUAUUAUCAAUGUCCAUGAGUUAUUAUAUGUUUUAAGUGGUUUUGUAUCUACUUUGUUGCUCAUUAGAUAUGAAAUGGUUAAAAUCUAAAUGUAUGAAUCGAUGAGCGUACAUUUAAUGGUGAUUUGAUAUGAAGUAUAAAUGAUCUGUUUCAUAUUACCUCAUAAUAAGGACCUAAAAGUUUCAACGUUCAGGUGCGACUUUCCCUUGAAGCAAUGAUCUGCCUGAUUUAGUCGCAAUCGGAAUCACAAAGAAUUUUUGUUACUGCCAAUAUGCACCAAUUGAUUUGUAGGAAUUAGAAAAAAUAAAAUAAAAUGGCGGUUCUUCCUUGUUCUUAUAGUUAUUAUUGUUACUUCUUUGAUUUUGAUUUGAUAGUUUCUGCAAAUAUAGAGUGCGCCUAAGAAAUGAAUAUAAGCUUUGAUUAACCAACAAAUAUUUGCCCGUGAAAACUCUGUUUGAAAUUUGGAGUAUUAGUAUGGUGCUGUGGUAGAUAUUAGGAAUCACAUGGUUUUAUGUUUUUCACUGAUGAUUUUUUCUUGUUGCGAGGAGUUUUCUUUAUAUUUAUGUAUGUCUAGUGUUGUACUUGCUUGGGAGGUUUUAAGCAUUGUGGACUCAAAAAGCUUCAGCUGGAUCAGCCCACAAAAUUGUUGUAGCUAAUAUUUGUGGUUUAGAUACUGUCUCUUGACCAUUGGAGUAUUAGUGUGUUCAUUUCUCUUGAAAAUAACACUCAAAGAUUGAUAUUAUUUACAUCUUACAUAUGUUAUGUGAUGUGACAUUCAGCCUCGUUUGUAAUUUUUAUUGGGUUAGAACUUAUAUGAUGAUCAAUAAUGUGUGCAUUUCUGCACUAAUAUUAAGGAUUGUUACAUUUUUAGUGCAUGCAACUCAUUGAUCAGCGUGUAUAAUCUGUGUUACUAUUGGAAAUACCAUUUUUUCAUGAAUGUCACAUUAGAUCUAUGAUGUGAGUCUUGGCACUAUAGGACUUGUUUCUUGAGUGAAGAUGGGUUGAUGAUAUCUAGAUGUUAGCAACAUUGAGGGUGUUUCUAUGGAGAUAAUCCAAUGAGUUAAUGAAAUUGUUGGAGUUCUGUUUCUUGUUGCUAGUUUUUUUUGUGGGAAUUUUCUGCUCAAACGAUGCUAUUGCUGCUAAUGUGAAGUUACUAUUGGCUGAGGGCUGUGUUUGUAUUUCUUUGGAUUUGCCAUGCCCGUGUUGGUUUUGUUGAUUCUUAUGGUUUCUUUAACAUCAGUAUAUGUCCACAAAUUUGUUUUUUAGUUUGAUUUUUUGCUACGUGAAAUUUCUUUUUGCCUUGGUUCGAUUCAUUUUUGUUACUGUUUAAAAAAACUCUUUUGAGUUCUGUUCAUGGCAGUACUUUGUGUGCCUGUGGGGUGUUAAAUGCCAUGUAAUAUUGUACCCAAUUAGAACAUUAUUGGUAUUGUUGGGUCUGGGCCUAUGGAGACCCAAUUCGAAAAUUAUUAGUUGGAUCAAGGUCUGUAUUCACUAUCGAACCAACCCAUUUGAGCCUGAUUUCACCUAGAUCAUGUAUCGUAGACAUGGUGGUGUUUCGAAUUGGAACAUCGCUCCUCGCUUAAAGCCGAUCAUGCCCAUUGAUUUGCCGACAAACAAGCUGCACCAAGAUGCCCAUGUAAAGACUCUGAUGUCUGAUGCCACGAGAAGAGGAAUGACCGGUCAAGAUGACUUGGUAGAAAGGGGAGAGGACGGGAGGAUGGGGGAGUACUUGUGUUCUUAGGAAUGAAUGCGCGAAAAUGGGGAUGAAUCUUUGAAGUGGAAAAUUAGAGCGCGUUUGGUUUGACAUUUUCAUUUGGAAUUAAUUACUUUUUAAAUUUUUAUUAAUGUUGACUCUGAACAAUGAGUUUUGUUCUAUUACCCUUACAUUGUUACAAUGCAUAUUAUCAAUGUCCAUGAGUUAUUAUAUGUUUUAAGUGGUUUUGUAUCUACUUUGUUGCUCAUUAGAUAUGAAAUGGUUAAAAUCUAAAUGUAUGAAUCGAUGAGCGUACAUUUAAUGGUGAUUUGAUAUGAAGUAUAAAUGAUCUGUUUC